GCGCUCUUAGUAUAGUGGUCAUUAUGCCAGGUUGCCAUAUUUUAAUGUUUUAUUAAAAUGCAAAUACUUGGCGGCCCGGGUUCAAUUCCCGGAGGGCGCA
rnacentral:tRNA from 1 species